rnacentral:rRNA from 1 species
AUGAUUACUAGUGUGUUGCAUGGUGCUGCCUUGUGGUUUGGUUUGGCCAUCAGAUUUGUGUGUGUUCACCAUUUACCUGGUGGUAUUUUGGCUGUUGAGUAUUGCUCUUCUCUUUUUAGUUUGUUCAUGGGUUGUGAUUAUAGUCAUUUAACAUAUGUUAAAAGUUCUGUAAUUUACAAUAGUACAGAAGGUGGCUUCGAUGCAUUGGACUUAAAAGGCCCGCUUGUCACAGAAGUGCAACAGGAAUUCAGUUAUUUAUUUUUAAUGUCUGUUGCAACAAGGCAGUUAAGUUACCUGUUUGAAUUAUCAUCUACAGACAUGUCAGUUGAUUCAAAUGCAUUUCUAUUUUUGCAUCCCUUAUAUUAA